CUAAGUAUACAAAGAAUAUGUCUAGGUAUAUAAAGAUACAGCUAAGUAUAUAAAGAUCCGAUGCAAUAAGGGAUAAAUAGCCGGUUAUUUAACAGGUACGACACACACAAAAAAAACAGACAACAACAUUUAUGGCCAUCUUGCAAACAUUACUAGCAUGAGUACUGUCAGUAGAUCAACUCUGGAUUAAAGAUGUCCUAAAUAAACAUGGCUAUCGUCUUAACUGACCAGAGUAUGGUGUCUGAUCAGAAAGCUCUAAGAACUU
rnacentral:lncRNA from 1 species